rnacentral:rRNA from 1 species
AAAUCUGGCGGCAUCCUGUCGUCCGAGUUGUAAUCUAUAGAAGUGUUUUCCGCUCCGGACCAUGUACAAGUCCCUUGGAACAGGGCGUCAUAGAGGGUGAGAAUCCCGUCCUUGACAUGAUCUCCGGCUGCUAUGUGAUACACUUUCAACGAGUCGAGUUGUUUGGGAAUGCAGCUCAAAAUGGGUGGUGAAUUCCAUCUAAAGCUAAAUAUUGGCGAGAGACCGAUAGCGAACAAGUACCGUGAGGGAAAGAUGAAAAGCACUUUGGAAAGAGAGUUAAACAGUACGUGAAAUUGUUGAAAGGGAAACGAUUGAAGUCAGUCAUGCUCUUUGGGUUAAGCCGUUCGCGGUGUAUUCCAUUGAGUGGGGUCAACAUCAGUUUUGACCGCUGGAAAAAGGCACAGGGAAGGUAGCACUCUCGGGUGAACUUAUAGCCCUGCGUCAUAUACAGUGGUUGGGACUGAGGAACGCAGCAUGCCUUAUGGCCGGGAUUCGUCCACGUACAUGCUUAGGAUGUUGACAUAAUGGCUUUAAACGACCCGUCUG